UACGUAGGGGGCAAGCGUUGUCCGGAAUCAUUGGGCGUAAAGAGCGUGUAGGCGGUUCGGUAAGUCGGCUGUGAAAGUCCAGGGCUCAACCCUGGGAUGCCGGUCGAUACUGCCGGACUAGAGUUCGGAAGAGGCGAGUGGAAUUCCCGGUGUAGCGGUGAAAUGCGCAGAUAUCUGGAGGAACACCGGUGGCGAAGGCGGCAUCCUGGACCGAGACUGACGCUGAGGAGCGAAAGCCAGGGGAGCAAACGGG
rnacentral:rRNA from 1 species